UACAGAGGUCUCAAGCGUUGUUCGGAUUCAUUGGGCGUAAAGGGUGCGUAGGCGGCGAGGUAAGUCGGAUGUGAAAUCCCGGGGCUCAACCCCGAAACUGCAUUCGAUACUGCUUUGCUUGAGUACUGGAGAGGAGACUGGAAUUUACGGUGUAGCAGUGAAAUGCGUAGAUAUCGUAAGGAAGACCAGUGGCGAAGGCGAGUCUCUGGACAGUUACUGACGCUGAGGCACGAAGGCCAGGGGAGCAAACGGG
rnacentral:rRNA from 1 species